AUAAGUAGAUGAUCCCAUUGAUGUACGAACAUCUGGAUUAGUUGCAUCAGUUGGAACGGGCAACUCAAUUUGAACGUUAGUUGCAGUGCUUCUCUCCUUGAACUGGCUUCGUGCUUUAACCAGAAUUUCCACGCGGCUCUUAGAAUGUCUUUCCACUUGGGCUUCUACCCACACAAGAGGCUUUACCUGUGUACUGAGUCUGUAGGUCAUAACUUCGAAAGCUCCAUCAGGAGGUAUGAAUGAUAUAGUACGAUCAUUCUCAAAUCGGGCCAAACGCACACACUGAUGAAACUUGAUAUCA
rnacentral:misc_RNA from 1 species